AUUGAACGCUAGCGGGAUGCUUUACACAUGCAAGUCGAACGAGUGGCGGACGGGUGAGUAAUAUAUCGGAACGUGCCCAGUAGCGGGGGAUAACUACUCGAAAGAGUGGCUAAUACCGCAUACUAUCGGGGCGGCCGAUAUCGGAUUAGCUAGUGGGUGGGGUAAAGGCUAACCAAGGCAACGAUCCGUAGCUGGUUUGAGAGGAAGACCAGCCACACUGGGACUGAGACACGGCCCAGACUCCUACGGGAGGCAGCAGUGGGGAAUUGUGGACAAUGGGGGAAACCCUGAUGCAGCCAUCCCGCGUGUAUGAGAAGGCCUUCGGGGUGUAAAGUACUUUUAGCAGAGAAGCGGUAUCUGCAGAAUAAGCACCGGCUAACUACGUGCCAGCAGCCGCGGUAAUAC
rnacentral:rRNA from 1 species